rnacentral:lncRNA from 1 species
UUAGGGGGUUGGCAGAAUGCUGUUUCAAAAUAAGAGGGGAAAAAUGAAGGUUUUUUUUUUUUUGAGGGUCGGGAGUGAGAUAUUUUAUUUUAAAGAGGAGUUCAGACUAGUCGGGAGCGAUUUAGAGUCUCUUGGUUGGUGUGUUCUUAGCAAUUUCCACGCCCAUAACACAGACACCCCAAGCUUUAAGAGGUGGGCAGAGAAUCUCCCCCACCUCACCCCCGCCAACUUGUUCUCAGAUGGCCUUUUGGGACCUUCGUUUUGAAACCCCCCCCCCCCCAAUCUAUCUUUCCUAAGGCUCCACUGGGAACGAAUUUGGGAGAAUAAAGAUAUAGCUGACUGGCCUACUUGGGCAUAGCUUGACGGGUGUGAGUAAGUUUGUCGACCCAGAGCUAGAAGAGUGCCUGUGCUCCUUUAUGUAGAUGCCGGAGGGUGGAGGAUUCGGAGACAAGGUUCUACCCCAUCCCUCCCACUGCCCUGCUAAAAGCUAGGUUUGUGUUGAGCCGAUUUGAGAAGAAAUCCCAUUUUAUUCUGGGUCCUACGAAAAGACCUGGCCGGGGGAGGGAAUAUUUUGAGAAGGCUUAGUGAGUGCCCUUGUUGAACUGAAACUAGACCCCUUUCCCGAUGAAAAAGGGAGAAAGAACGCUGGCGUGUUCUUGCGAGGGAGAUGGAUUGGCAGUCACCGUGAGACUAUUCAAUCGAAUUUUUCUUUAUUUCUGGAGGUCCUUGCAUAUGCGUUUUUGGGGGGUGGAGGAGGCUUUCUCUUCUUUCUGGUUUCUUUGCAUUCUGGUUUUCCCUUCCUUGGAUUUGACAUUGCCCAUCUUGGGGUGAGACUGGGGUAGUCUGGGUAUCCUAGCUUGGUAAACAUGUAUCUGCCUGGAGUCGGACAUGAUAAUUUUCUUCCCUUUUUUUUUUGUAUGUGUGGUUCAUGUUUUUUUGUUUUUUGUUUUUUGUUUUUUUUCAUUUUUUCCCCGUUUUGGAAGUCUAGGCAUUGUCAAGAGACAAGCUGUAGGAGGCUGUAGGACGAAUUGAAAACCCAAGCCGAACUCUUCUCGGCCACUCAGAACCCCUAACUCCCUCUCUAAUCUGCCUUGUAGUUAGGAGCGAGACUGAGCAGGGAAACCAAGUUAAAACCAGUUCCCUAGAUGCUGUGGGAUGAGACCAGGAUAAAAUUCGGAGGACACGGGAAGACUGGAAAGCCUACAGCUCGCUCCUCCGUCUCAUCUCUUCCCCCCUCUUCUCCCUCUCCUUCCCUCUUUGUCUACCCUGCAGGUCUGUCGGCAGAGGCACGGGUGUGCCGACGGUGGCAGGCAGGCUCUAUACGGACGAGGGAGUUGGGAACCAGACAAAGACGGGAGCUGUCCGCGGUGCUGAAGCCGCGCAGAAGGGCUCCUGUAACCGCACUGCCCUCUUAGAGCCUCCUUCCUUAUAAUCCCAUUUUUGCUCCCGAACUCCUCUGCGUUCAUUUCACUUUUGGGAGGCCUUCUUCGAAUCAAUGUCUUUAAUGGAAGCCUAUCUGUCUAUCCUAUCUAUCUAUCUAUCUAUCUAUCUAUCUAUCUAUCUAUCUAUCUAUCUAUCUAUCUAGUCUAUCUCCUAUCUAUCCAUCCAUCUUGAAGAACAAAUCGGCCGAUUAAAAGCAAUUUCUUCUUUCCACCCCAAAUACGGGAUACAGGAAAGGUUUCUUUUAAUUACACUCACCCUCCACUCCCGGCAAAGACAUGGAAGCGUGUAUUUAAAACAAUAAAACCCAAACACAACGAAUACCAACACAACGAAUGCAUUUUUUCUGGGGAAGAGACAGAGGGUUUAGUUUUAAAAUGUUAAUUUGGGGAGCACUUUAUCUUCAUGGGUAGAGAAAUAUCAGGGUUAGGGAGACUUCAUGUGAAGGAGUGUAGACCUAGGCUCCUAUCCUGUGAAGAAAUAGGGCUUAUGAGGGCAGAAGGGAGGGACAAGAAGCCAACAUAACCCUUGCAGACAUCCUAAGGCCUGCUGCCAAACACUCUUUAGAGUUUUUAAAAAAAUUAUUAUUUUUAAAAAUUUUAAAUGUUCACUGGUGUUUUGCCUGAAUGUGUGUCUGUAUGGGAGUUCUAGAAGCCAUGGAGCUGGAGUUACGGUCAGGUGUGAGCCAUGUGAGUGCUGGGAAUUGAACCAGGGUCCUCUGAAAGAGCAGCCAGUGCUCUUAACUGCUGGGUCAUCUCUGCAGUCUCCCUCAUCAGAGUUAUUAAGGAGACCAUUCUUAUGGAAAAUUCGGACACAAAAGGAUUAACCAGUGCUUCGUUUUCUAGACAUUCUAGGUGUCACACAGGUAUCUGACAUGGCACAUAACUAAGCAGCUAGUCCUCUCUGUGUGGUAACAUGUCUGAAUAAGUUUGUGUAGGGGAAAUUGAACCCCCUCCCCCAACAUAUUCCAUUCUGGGGACCAAACACUUCUGCCAGUGCCCAGGGAUCUGAAUACUUGCCUUCUGUUGUCUCAGAGAGAUAUCACCACCGUGGCCACGCUGGUGUCACCUCCUCAUCUGGUCUCCACAGUACUUCCAAGUCUCUCUAUUUCAGGGUAUCAAUCAGGUCCAUAAGUUCACUUCACAGGGAGUGGGAUUAGAAGGACCAGAACUCUCAAAGUUCUGUGAUGAACUUUGCACUGAAGACUGUGUAGGGGCUUGGGACAAAUAGCACUUCAAUUUUUCUAGACCUUGGCUGUUAUCGUCUUAUUCCAAUCCCUAUAGGCUUUGUCAUUAAGACCAUUUAACCUCGAAGAAUACACAACCUUGUGGUGUCAGGACAGUUGCCCUUGGCUGUAUAAGAAUAAGAACAAGGGUAUAGUUACAGUGUGUGUGUAUGUGAGUGUGUGUGAGUGUGUGUGUAUGUGUGUAGAUGUCGAUGUUUUGUUUUUGGUUUUUUGGUCUUUCGAGACAGGGUUUCUCUGUGUAGCCCUGGCUGUCCUGGUAUUCACUCUGAAGACCAGGCUGGCCUCGAACUCAGAAAUCCGCCUGCCUCUGCUUCCCAAGUGCUGGGAUUAGGAGCGAGACUGAGCAGGGAAACUGAGUCCCAGAGAUGCUGAUGAAUACUAUAGUUACACAACCAAGCUCUGUGCUUGUUACCCUGCCCAUGUAUGUGGACCUGUGUUUUCUUGGAGACAUCACUAAGUCUUUAUGGUGCUAUUUCUUUAUUAGCACCGUCUCUUUGGCUUCCUGAACCAUUGUGGGCUGUGGGCUGUGGGCUGUGGGCUGUGGGCUGGACUUGUGAAGUUGGUGUAGCUAAGCACUAACUUUGAAAACAAGAGACAAACGUGGUGAGAAAGCCAGCCACAUCACCUUCCUGCCAGGCUUGGGUCAGUGUUUGAUAGGCUGGGAUGAACAGUCUCUUAGAGCUCCAGCUUGGAGUCAUCUUUAAUCCUUUCUCUUCUGCUUUGGCUUCAAUGCAUCAGCAAGGAAGGCUCACCAAGUGCCCAGACCAUCUCCCAAUCAUUCCCUUUCCUUUCCUUGGUCAUGCUGGCUCCAACCAACACUACCCAGCCUAUUUUAUGGUAGUAGCCUUCUAACAGGACUCUCCUACCUCCCAUCCCCUCUCUUCUAUUCUCUAUAGGAUGUCUGAGGCUAUAUUUUAGAACCAUACAUUAAAGCUUGUCAUUCUACCUCUGACCCUCCAACAACUCCUCACUGCAUGUAGAAUAAAAUCCAUACUUCCCACCCUGCUGUGCAGGGCCUUUUGUGAGGGCUCCUGGCUCUCACUCCUAACAUCCCCCACCCCUUCCCAUCCUGCACCAGUCACAUCAUCUUCCCUGCUGUGUCUCACACUGACGAGUUUUCUCACCUCCGGACCUUCCACACUUGGAUGGCCCCUUCUGCCCUCAAAUCCUUGCAGGGUUGGUCCUGCCUUUGUCAUUCAGCUCAGCUGUCAAUCCAUCCAGCCAGUCUCCCCCAUCAGUUUAUUAGAGCUGGUCCACCCCCAGCCACUUCCUACCUACCUGUUCUCUUUGUUACAUUUAUCAAUAUGUAUAAUUAUCCUCCUGCUAUAUUUAGCUACAUAUUGUCUAUCUUUCUUAUAACACCAGUUCCACGAGGCCAGGGAGAGUGUGCUUGUCUUCUUCAUUGUUGGAUUUUCCAAUGCUUGACUCAUUACCUGCAGCACAGCUGUCCAAUACAUACUUGUUGACUGGGUGUAUAAUGAACAAGUGCACAGACAGGGGAAUAAGAGCUUUAGAAAGCGAGUAGGUAUGGAUGGGCAGAUCUGAGAAGGGACUGGAUAUAGCCGUUGCCCUUUUUCUUGGGUCUAUGGUGAAGCAGCUGGCUGGGUGGGAUCCCAGGCUGGGAAAGGGAUGACAGAAUAGAUUCCUCGGGACCCCAAGAGAAUGCUCACCAGACAGGGGAUCAAACCAGAUAAGAUUCAUGAAUCUGGGGCUUAGGGUUUUUGUUGUUGUUGUUGUUAGAGUUGGGGUUCUCAAAUCUUUCUUUGCUAAUAGGUAAGAGUGUGAUAAUGGGAGAGACUGCCAUUAAGGAAUAUAUUGGCAUUAAACAGGUCAGGGCAGUGGUUUUCAACCUCUGGGGUUUGCAUAUCAGAUAUCCUGCAUGUCAGAUAUCUACACUGUGAUUUACAACUAUAGCAAUGAAAUAAUUUUAUGGCUGGGGGAGGGGAGGUCACCAUGACAUGAGGAACUGUAUUAAAGUGUCCCAGCAUUAGGAAGGUUGAAAACCUCUCCUUUAGGAGACUGUGUCUGCACUCAGUUUUUAUUAGCUGGAUAUAGGAUAAUGUAGCAGUCCAGACAUAGAAUCCAUGCCCUGUUUAUAGACUCUGGUGCCCUCUUACCAGCCCUGUGACACAGAUGAGCAGCCCCUUAUCCUUUCUGUACCUUGGGUUCUGCAUCUGUAAGAUGGAGACGAGUGUGUCAUCCUCAUAGAGUGGUCACUAGGCUCUGUGGUGUGCUUCACUAGUGAGUAGCACAGCCUUAAAUGGGAACGGAGAAGAGAGGCAGAGUACUGGGGGCUGAGGGUGGGGAGGGGGUGGACAGAGGGAGGUAAUCAGGAGGCUCAGGUUUAGUGACCAGUCUCCUUUGCUCCUCCAUGUUUUUUAUUUGUGGAGGGCGAGAAACAGCUCAAUGCUGUGGGGAGGAAUCUGUCCCCUCAUCUAUCCCAUGGGACAGGAAUGGUGGCUGCCUGGAAGGGUGGUGGGAACCUUGGGGAGAUGCUGUGUGAGAACUGGGAAGCACAACACAUGCCAGAUGGAUUGCUUUGUGUAUUCUGUGUCAGUGUGUGGGAGCGUGCUCGCACGUGUGGGUGUGUGUGCAUGUGUGUGAAGGCCAAGAGUCAGUGCCGGGUGUCUUUCUGAGUCACGUUCUGCUCUAUUUUUUUUUUUUUUUGAGACAGGAUCUCUCAUUGAAGUUGGAGCUCACUGAUUCCACUAGACUGUCUGGUCAGCAAGCAAUCACCAGGAAUCACCUGUAACCGUAUCUGCCUGCCGUGACACUCACUGCCGCCUUGAAUUAUCUAUCUAUCUAUCUAUCUAUCUAUCUAUCUAUCUAUCUAUCUAUUUAUCUUUUUAUUUUCACACAAGCAGUUGGGAAUAUAACUCAUAUCCUCAUGCCCACGCAUCAAGCAUGUUCCUAACUGAGCCAUCUCCCCAGCUCUUGGAGUUUCUGGGUUUGUUCGGAAGCCUUCUCCCUCCUCCAGAAAGAGGAGUGGAACAGGCACAUGUGAAUUCACUCUGUUGAGCCUAGAAGAGGUGAAAGAGAAAGGCUGCCCAUUUUCUAGAUGUUCCUCAUGAGCUAUAUGCGUGUACCACGAAGGCUUGCUUGGACCCAGAGCUAGGGCUGACCUAACUGAGAUGCUACCCAGGGGUUUCUGGCUCACUGUGGCCACCAUGGCUCCACAAACCACCUACUUAUAACAAAAUAAAAAAUUUUCU